rnacentral:rRNA from 1 species
GGUGAACGCUGGCGGCGUGCCUAAUACAUGCAAGUCGAGCGAACGGACGAGAAGCUUGCUUCUCUGAUGUUAGCGGCGGACGGGUGAGUAACACGUGGAUAACCUACCUAUAAGACUGGGAUAACUUCGGGAAACCGGAGCUAAUACCGGAUGAUAUUUUGAACCGCAUGGUUCAAAAGUGAAAGACGGUCUUGCUGUCACUUAUAGAUGGAUCCGCGCUGCAUUAGCUAGUUGGUAAGGUAACGGCUUACCAAGGCAACGAUGCAUAGCCGACCUGAGAGAGUGAUCGGCCACACUGGAACUGAGACACGGUCCAGACUCCUACGGGAGGCAGCAGUAGGGAAUCUUCCGCAAUGGGCGAAAGCCUGACGGAGCAACGCCGCGUGAGUGAUGAAGGUCUUCGGAUCGUAAAACUCUGUUAUUAGGGAAGAACAUAUGUGUAAGUAACUGUGCACAUCUUGACGGUACCUAAUCAGAAAGCCACGGCUAACUACGUG